CAACUCACACCACCAGUCUCCAUCCAACUCGUUUUCUUCUCCCUCAUUCCUCUGGAUAUAAACACACAAAGUCACACACAAAAAAGAGGACACACCUAAAGAGAGGGGGACGGACAGAAAAAUUUUGGAGAAAGCAGCAGUGAUAGAAUGGGUAAAAACGGAGGAAGGAAAAUCGAAGAAGAUAGACUGAUAGAGAGUAUAAUAGUGAACGAGUAGACAAUCGAGGCAAUCGAAGUUCGAGUUCCGAAAAUCCGUUCGAGUUGGGAAGGUUUUCGGCCGAGGUCUUGUUCGCAUUUCCGAUUCCAAUGUUGUUGUCAAAUUUCAGUUUUCCUAAUUGAACGGUCAUUGCUAUUGUACAAAUUUUGACUUGGAUUUCUCUUUGUUAAUACAUUGAAGAUGGUUUUCUACCAGUGAAGAUCUAGACAUUAGUAAAGGCGGAUUCCCGAGAGGUGCUUAGCGGAUACCAGUCAGGUGAUUCGAGAUUGAGCUGCAUUCCAUUCGCAAGCCUUAGAGUCAUCUUCCUAUUUCUAUUGUAUUGUUUCUACAUUUCUGACAGUAUUAUAUUUCUUUCAAAACUGUAUUUAGUAAACUCUAGUAGCUCAUGUACUUGUGACUCCACGUCUUGGGAUGGUUGAACGUUAGUGUUGAUCUUAGACUUAUCAUGAAUACUUUCGAGUUGCUUUUAUACUAUAUUAUUAUCUUGCUGUAAGUUGUUAA